GUGUUUCUCUACCCAACAACUGGGCGACUAUACUAGAGGACCUAUCGUGAUGGUUACAACAACACUAACUACGACACUAGAGGUCAAGGUGGCGUGCUGGAAAUAUGAGAAUCAACAUAAUCGCCACUACAACGAUGUUUUAUAUCGACAUUUAUGAUGUUGAUGUCAAAUCUGCUAGCGGGGAUAAUAACAUGACGUAUUCUAUUCGAUGUGGACACCUGAUAAGAUCCUUAGUAAAGGAAACAGCAUAUGUUCUAAGGUUUGUAGGCUGGCCAGGUGCUUUCUCUUUGGCCUUGGCUUGUAUAUCAUGUGAUGGCUCAAACAUUCUUAUU
rnacentral:lncRNA from 1 species